rnacentral:lncRNA from 1 species
GGCAGCUUUUUGAGUCACCCCAUGAUUGGACGACUCAUAGAGUCACCCUACCAUAGGGUGAUUUUAUGUAUUUUUUUUACAUUAUAUUAAUAUACAUAUAAUAUAUAAGAAUAUAUUAUAUGAUUAUAAUAUAUUAUAUAAUUAUUAUAUUUUAUUAUUAUAUAUUAUAUCAUUAUAAUAUAAUAUCAUAUAUUUUAUUAUUAUAU